rnacentral:rRNA from 1 species
UACAGAGGUCUCAAGCGUUGUUCGGAUUCAUUGGGCGUAAAGGGUGCGUAGGCGGCGCGGUAAGUCGGGUGUGAAAUCUCGGGGCUUAACUCCGAAACUGCAUUCGAUACUGCCGUGCUUGAGGACUGGAGAGGGAGACUGGAAUUUACGGUGUAGCGGUGAAAUGCGUAGAUAUCGUAAGGAAGACCAGUGGCGAAGGCGGGUCUCUGGGACAGUUCCUGACGCUGAGGCACGAAGGUCAGGGGAGCAAACGGG